CCUGAGACAGCCGCACAAAGAGGAGGCCCCUGGCCGCUCCCGCCUUCCAUUGAUCCUGGCCCUUUGUGGCUCUGACGACGACGGGGGCGCGAGAGGCGCCGCGCAGGGACUUGGCCCAUUCUCAUUAGGGGACCCCUGUCCCGCCAGCCCUCACCACGGGUCCUCCUCCACAGAUGAGGAAAUGGCAAUGGCACCCACCAAGCAGCUGUGGUUUGGGAGCUGGGAUAUCGCUAUGUGGAAGCCCGUGGCACUUUGCUCUGGAUGCUGAACAGAGGAGGAAGAAGGGAAGAGAGCCUGGGCAGCUGGCUGGGAAAAGGCAGAGGGUGCUUUCCUGUCGCUGCCUGCUCUUGCUAAGCAUUGGGAGAAGAGGGAGAAUGUGGAAGGAGAGUGCACACCUGGGAGCUGCAUCCACUGGCUGACCAGAAAACAUUUAAUUUCCACCCUGGGCGUAGUCCAUGGCCAGCUUCCUUGUGGUGCGCUGUUUCUGUCUGCCUUUUGUCUGUGGCUGGUGGUGUCAGAGCCCGUAACUAUCUGUUUACAGUUUCAGACAGAAGCAUUAAUUGCCUUUUGAACCUCCCCUUUUCCCCUAAGACUCCCUGCUCAACUAUAUUAACUGUCUCGCUUGGUUUCUUUCUGCACAAAGAGAAAUGCCUGUCUCCCCUAAAACCUGACCACCUGCAAAUCCCCACCGUACUCUCUUAUGCAUAGGUGAUGCGAGAACAAACGUGUAGCCAGCACAUGUCUGCAUAGAGACAGGGUAUACAGGACAAGUUGUCACAGUCCAGAAGGUUCCAGCCAGCUGUGGGGUGGUAGGAAGAAUAUCGGAAUUGGAGUCAGACAGUAUUUGAAAUCUGCUUUGGUUGUUGACUUGCUGUGUGACCUGGGGCAAGUUACUUCAUCUUGCUGCGCCUCGGUUUUCUCAUCUAUGAAGUGGACACGACAGUACCUGCUUCACAAGGCUGGAUAAUGUCGCUCCUUGAUGAAAGCACUUUGUUCUGGAAAAGCACGUUUCUCUGCUCUUUGCUUGCCUGGUAUGGGUUUAAAGGUGGUAGAAAGAGGAAACUAAAUGAUAGGUAAUAGAAGUAGGGAGAUCUUUCCCAAUGGGGAAAAGGAAUAAGAAAUGGAGGGGGGAGGGAGGAGAGGGAGAGAGGAAGGAAAAUAAAAAGAAUGCAGAAAAAAAUGGAAAUAGAGCUUUUGUAAAUGGAAAGGGGGCCGAGAGAGUUGGAAGGGGCAGGGAGGGACUGGAUGGGUAGGGAGUAAAAAAAGAGUUAAGGGAGGGCCGGGGAUUUAGUUCAG
ensembl:lncRNA